UUACCACUCUGGCCUUUUGGCUUAGAUCAAGUGUAGUAUCUGUUCUUAAUAGUUUAACCACUAUUAUGGAGGCACCGCCUCCAUUACUGGUUAUCUAAUUUUUGCCGCCCUUGCCUCUGGGCUCUGCUUGCAACCUGGAGGCGCGAUGACCUUGCCACUGCAGUAUCGGCUUGUGUCGUCGGGGGACC
rnacentral:snRNA from 1 species